GCCUACGGGAGGCAGCAGUGGGGAAUAUUGCACAAUGGGGGAAACCCUGAUGCAGCGACGCCGCGUGAAGGAUGAAGUAUUUCGGUAUGUAAACUUCUAUCAGCAGGGAAGAAAAUGACGGUACCUGACUAAGAAGCCCCGGCUAACUACGUGCCAGCAGCCGCGGUAAUACGUAGGGGGCAAGCGUUAUCCGGAUUUACUGGGUGUAAAGGGAGCGUAGACGGCAUGGCGAGUCUGAUGUGAAAACCCGGGGCCCAACCCCGGGACUGCAUUGGAAACUGUCAGGCUAGAGUGUCGGAGAGGCA
rnacentral:rRNA from 1 species